AUGGCUCCUACUCUCCAGGAUGUGUCCUUUUUAUUGGGACUACCGUUGGCAGGUCAUGCCAUAGGACCGUUGGAGGCACCGGCUGAUUGGCAGCUUGGUAUUGCACAAUGUUUCGCGGGUAUUUAUGACCGAGCUCUGGCGCUGACAUCGGAUAAUCAUGGACCUAAGUAUAAUGGUUGCUCCAUUUCCAGAUCCAAAAAUUCCCGGGGUAUCCAAGGGUCCCGUUGA
rnacentral:rRNA from 1 species